CGCGGCCCCCGAACCCGGGGGCCGCGGGCCGUAAUGCAGCCGCCGCGGCACGCGCCGCGGCGCCGGUCCCAAGCCCGGAGCGAAUGCAGAGGGGGGU
rnacentral:ribozyme from 1 species